rnacentral:rRNA from 1 species
UACGUAGGGGGCAAGCGUUGUCCGGAAUCAUUGGGCGUAAAGAGCGUGUAGGCGGUCCGGUAAGUCGGCUGUGAAAGUCCAGGGCUCAACCCUGGGAUGCCGGUCGAUACUGCCGGACUAGAGUUCGGAAGAGGCGAGUGGAAUUCCCGGUGUAGCGGUGAAAUGCGUAGAGAUCAGGAAGAACAUCGGUGGCGAAGGCGCUCUGCUGGACCAUAACUGACACUCAGGGACGAAAGCUAGGGGAGCGAAUGGG